UAAGACGUAGGGGGCGAGCGUUAUCCGGAAUUACUGGGUGUAAAGGGUAUGCAGGCGGAUUGACAAGUUGAAUGUAAAAACUCAGAGCUUAACUCUGAGCUCGCAUUCAAAACUGUUGAUCUAGAGAGCAGUAGAGGGAAGUGGAAUUCCAGGUGUAGCGGUAAAAUGCUUAGAUAUCUGGAAGAACACCAGUGGCGAAAGCGGCUUCCUGGGCUGUCUCUGACGCUCAUAUACGAAAGCUAGGGGAGCAAACAGGAUUAGAUACCCUGGUAGUCCUAGCCGUAAACGAUGGAUGCUUGGUGUUGGGGAGGUUGCUUCUCAGUGCCGGAGCUAACGUGUUAAGCAUCCCACCUGGGAAGUACGGCCGCAAGGUUA
rnacentral:rRNA from 1 species